UGAACGCUGGCGGCGUGCCUAAUACAUGCAAGUCGAGCGAACAGAUAAGGAGCUUGCUCCUUUGACGUUAGCGGCGGACGGGUGAGUAACACGUGGGUAACCUACCUAUAAGACUGGAAUAACUCCGGGAAACCGGGGCUAAUGCCGGAUAAUAUUUAGAACCGCAUGGUUCUAAAGUGAAAGAUGGUUUUACUAUCACUUAUAGAUGGACCCGCGCCGUAUUAGCUAGUUGGUGGGGUAAUGGCUUACCAAGGCAACGAUACGUAGCCGACCUGAGAGGGUGAUCGGCCACACUGGAACUGAGACACGGUCCAGACUCCUACGGGAGGCAGCAGUAGGGAAUCUUCCGCAAUGGGCGAAAGCCUGACGGAGCAACGCCGCGUGAGUGAUGAAGGUCUUCGGAUCGUAAAACUCUGUUAUUAGGGAAGAACAAAUGUGUAAGUAACUGUGCACGUCUUGACGGUACCUAAUCAGAAAGCCACGGCUAACUACGUGCCAGCAGCCGCGGUA
rnacentral:rRNA from 1 species